rnacentral:rRNA from 1 species
GACAAACGCUGGCGGCGUGCUUAAUACAUGCAAGUCGAACGGAAAGGCCCUGCUUUUGUGGGGUGCUCGAGUGGCGAACGGGUGAGUAACACGUGAGUAACCUGCCCUUGACUUUGGGAUAACUUCAGGAAACUGGGGCUAAUACCGGAUAGGAGCUCCUGCUGCAUGGUGGGGGUUGGAAAGUUUCGGCGGUUGGGGAUGGACUCGCGGCUUAUCAGCUUGUUGGUGGGGUAGUGGCUUACCAAGGCUUUGACGGGUAGCCGGCCUGAGAGGGUGACCGGCCACAUUGGGACUGAGAUACGGCCCAGACUCCUACGGGAGGCAGCAGUGGGGAAUAUUGCACAAUGGGCGGAAGCCUGAUGCAGCAACGCCGCGUGCGGGAUGACGGCCUUCGGGUUGUAAACCGCUUUCGCCUGUGACGAAGCGUGAGUGACGGUAAUGGGUAAAGAAGCACCGGCUAACUACGUGCCAGCAGCCGCGGUGAUACGUAGGGUGCGAGCGUUGUCCGGAUUUAUUGGGCGUAAAGGGCUCGUAGGUGGUUGAUCGCGUCGGAAGUGUAAUCUUGGGGCUUAACCCUGAGCGUGCUUUCGAUACGGGUUGACUUGAGGAAGGUAGGGGAGAAUGGAAUUCCUGGUGGAGCGGUGGAAUGCGCAGAUAUCAGGAGGAACACCAGUGGCGAAGGCGGUUCUCUGGGCCUUUCCUGACGCUGAGGAGCGAAAGCGUGGGGAGCGAACAGGCUUAGAUACCCUGGUAGUCCACGCUGUAAACGGUGGGUACUAGGUGUGGGGUCCAUUCCACGGGUUCCGUGCCGUAGCUAACGCUUUAAGUACCCCGCCUGGGGAGUACGGCCGCAAGGCUAAAACUCAAAGGAAUUGACGGGGCCCCGCACAAGCGGCGGAGCAUGCGGAUUAAUUCGAUGCAACGCGUAGAACCUUACCUGGGUUUGACAUGGAUCGGGAGUGCUCAGAGAUGGGUGUGCCUCUUUUGGGGUCGGUUCACAGGUGGUGCAUGGCUGUCGUCAGCUCGUGUCGUGAGAUGUUGGGUUAAGUCCCGCAACGAGCGCAACCCUUGUUCACUGUUGCCAGCACGUUAUGGUGGGGACUCAGUGGAGACCGCCGGGGUCAACUCGGAGGAAGGUGGGGAUGACGUCAAGUCAUCAUGCCCCUUAUGUCCAGGGCUUCACGCAUGCUACAAUGGCUGGUACAGAGAGUGGCGAGCCUGUGAGGGUGAGCGAAUCUCGGAAAGCCGGUCUCAGUUCGGAUUGGGGUCUGCAACUCGACCUCAUGAAGUCGGAGUCGCUAGUAAUCGCAGAUCAGCAACGCUGCGGUGAAUACGUUCCCGGGGCU